AUUGAACGCUGGCGGCAGGCCUAACACAUGCAAGUCGAACGAGUGGCGGACGGGUGAGUAUUGUCUGGGCAACUGCCCGAUGGAGGGGGAUAACUACUGGAAACGGUAGCUAAUACCUCAUACCACCGGUUGUGCCCAGAUGGGUUUAGCUAGUAGGUGGGGUAACGGCUCACCUAGGCUACGAUCCCUAGCUGGACUGAGAGGGUGACCGGCCACACUGGAACGGGGACACGGUCCAGACUCCUACGGGAGGCAGCAGUGGGGAAUAUCGGACAAUGGGCGAAAGCCUGAUGCAGCCAUGCCGCGUGGAUGAAGAAGGCCUUCGGGUUGUAAAGUACUUUCAGCAGGGAGGCGUUACUCGCAGAAGAAGCACCGGCUAACUCCGUGCCAGCAGCCGCGGUAAUUC
rnacentral:rRNA from 1 species